GACAUGCACCAGAUCUCAUACAAUCAGUGAAGUUAAGUAAUGUUGAACCUGGUCAGUAUCUAGAUGGGUGACCACUUGGAAAUACCAGAUGCUGUAGG